rnacentral:tRNA from 1 species
AUAAACUUAAUUUAAAUAAAAUUUUAAUUUUGUAAAUUAAAUUUAUAAAUAAAAUUUAUAGUUUAUA